GAUGAACGCUGGCGGCGUGCCUAAUACAUGCAAGUCGAGCGAACAGACGAGGAGCUUGCUCCACUGACGUUAGCGGCGCAAGGGUGAGCAACACGUGGAUAACCUACCUAUACGACUGGGAUAACUUCGGGAAACCGGAGCUAAUACCGGACAAUAUAUUGAACAGCAUGGUCCCUUAGUGAAAGACGGUCUUGCUGUCCCUUAUAGAUGGAUCCGCGCCGCAUUAGCUAGUUGGUAAGGUAACGGCUGACCAAGGCAACGAUGGGUAGCCGACCUGAGAGGGAGAUCGGCCACACAGGAACUGAGACACGGCCCAGACUCCUACGGGAGGCAGGAGUAGGGAAUCUUCCGCAAUUGGCGAAAGCCUGACGGAGCAACGCCGGGUGAGUGAUGAAGGUCUUCGGAUCGUAAAACGAUGUUAUUGGGGAGGAACAGAUGUGUAAGUAACGAUGCACGUCUGAACGUUACCUAGUCAGAAGGCCGCGCCGAACUGGGG
rnacentral:rRNA from 1 species